GAAAUGCGAUAAGUAAUGUGAAUUGCAGAAUUCAGUGAAUCAUCGAAUCUUUGAACGCACAUUGCGCCCGCCAGCACUCUGGCGGGCAUGCCUGUUCGAGCGUCAUUUCAACCCUCAGAACCCCUUGCGGGAUCUGGCGUUGGGGAUUGGCAUCCAGCCAGCCCCGAAAUCUAGUGGCGGUCCCUCCGCGACCUCCCCUGUGCAGUAGCGAU
rnacentral:misc_RNA from 1 species